CCUCCGUGACCGUCCCAGCGGCAGCAGGGAGCUCAGCGGAGAGGCGCAGGCUGACGCCGGGCCCCUCAGCGAGCCGUUCUCGGGGCAGCCAGCAUCCUCUGGGCAGCUCUCUGAGCCGCUGCCCCGCGGGCAUCUGAUGGAAGAGGCGCGGCAGAGGCAGCCCCGGGUGGUUCUCACCCGCCUGGCACUGCCGACCCCCCUGGCUGCCCCCGCACCUCUGUUGCCCCACAGUGCACAUCUGACCAAAGAGGUGCAGCGGAGGCAGCCCCGGGUGCUUCUCACCCGCCUGGCACUGCCACCCGGCUGCAUCUCCUGCCACGUGCCCCACAACCACCGCGGGGACGGCAGCGAGCCGGCCGAGUGCCCAACGCCCG
rnacentral:lncRNA from 1 species